CUGACUGAUGUCCGCCAGGAGGAUAAGGGCAACUAUACCUUGACCGUCUCCUCUGACAUCAACGGAGUAGCCGACACAUCAAGUACCAGAUUUUAUGUUGACGUCACUGAGAAGCCAUCGGCAAAGAAAGACACAUCUGGAAAUCACGCUGGAGCAAACAGUGGGGCGAUUGUUGGAGGGGUGUUAGGCGGUUUCCUCGUUGUUCUUACAUCUAUCUUUACAGUGAUAGUUGUGAUCUUAUGGAGAAGAUCAAAAACGAAAGCUUUACCAGAGGGUACUGAAAACAGG